GACGAACGCUGGCGGCGUGCCUAACACAUGCAAGUCGAACGGAGCACUUCGGUGCUUAGUGGCGAACGGGUGAGUAACGCGUGAAGAACCUGCCUUUCAGUGGGGGACGAACAGUUGGAACGACUGCUAAUACCGCAUAAUGUUAUUUGGGGUCGAUCCUCGAAUAACCAAGAUUUAUUGCUGAAAGAUGGCUUCGCGUCUGAUUAGCUAGAUGGCGGGGUAACGGCCACCAUGGCGACGAUCAGUAGCCGGUCUGAGAGGAUGAACGGCCACAUUGGGACUGAGAUACGGCCCAGACUCCUACGGGAGGCAGCAGUGGGGAAUAUUGGGCAAUGGGCGAAAGCCUG
rnacentral:rRNA from 1 species